UAAGGAAUAUUGGUCAAUGGACGCAAGUCUGAACCAGCCAUGCCGCGUGAAGGAUGAAGGUCCUCUGGAUUGUAAACUUCUUUUAUCUGGGACGAAAACGGGAUUUUUAUCUCAAUUGACGGUACCAGAGGAAUAAGCACCGGCUAACUCCGUGCCAGCAGCCGCGGUAAUACGGAGGGUGCGAGCGUUAUCCGGAUUUACUGGGUUUAAAGGGUGCUUAGGUGGGCUUAUAAGUCAGUGGUGAAAUCUCCGAGCUUAACUUGGAAACUGCCGUUGAUACUAUAGGUCUUGAAUUAUCUGGAGGUAAGCGGAAUAUGUCAUAUAGCGGUGAAAUGCUUAGAUAUGACAUAGAACACCAAUUGCGAAGGCAGCUUACUACAUAUAAAUUGACGCUGAGGCACGAAAGCGUGGGGAUCAAACA
rnacentral:rRNA from 1 species